AAUGGUUAGGAUCUUCUGCUUGUGCAGGGUAUGAACUAAAAGACCUCCAAAAUCCCUUCCAACUCCAUUAUUCUAAACCAAUUAUACAAGCC